ACCGCCUCAGGGAAGAGGAAGGAGGCCGCGGCUUCGCGUCCCGCCUCUCGCCUGGCUGGCCGUGGGGGGCCUGGACGCAGUGGCCUCCCGAAUCUCCCAGGACCCUAAUAUCGCCCGAGGAUGCUGGGAGGAACGCUGAGCCGACCUCUCCGUUAGGCUGAAGAUUGCACAAACCAUGCUAAUGGCCAGCAUGGAUGGAGGGAGCGUGUGAGAUGUGUGGGGCAGCGUGCUGCAUCUCAGCCAACUCCAGGAGCCAGUUGAUGUGAUGGACUACCUUAAUUGAUUUUUGAAUGUUGAGCCAGCCUUAUGCAUGUGGGAUAAACCCCUGUUGAUCAUGGCUGGCUGGAGUGCAGUGGUGCAAUCAUGGCUCACUGCAACCUCAAAUUCCUGGGCUCAAGGGAUCCUCCUGCCUCAGCCUCCCAAGUAGCUAGGACUACAGGAAGCAUGCUCAUGGCAAUACCCGGAGUCUCCACUGCAAGACCAGAGUGACGGAGGCAGCAGAGCUCCUCAGCAGGCCAGGAGUCUCCAGAGGCACUGCCGAAUGUCUAAGAAGCAACCUCAUUGUAUUCCCAAGACCUGGGAAUCCAGGUCUCGCAGAUACGAUGAUACAAUCUAUAGCCAGGACAUCUCUUCAUGUGUAGUUUUCAAUGAAUACUAGGAUAAGCAACUAUCCCAGUCUUCCCAGGAUUGAGGGGCUUCUCCAGAUGCUGCACUUCUGGUGCUAAAAAUGAGAAACUGAAAUGAAUUAGUCACCCAAGGAAUGCUGACCCUGUGCUAUAUGAUCACAUUUACUCUUUAAAGCAAUGCUUUGAGGACCUGGCACUGGGCUCGGGGCCGCCCCUGCCCCUGGUCCUUCAGUGUUGCUCAAACUAGAAACAGAAGCCAUGCUGGAAGACAGAGCUGCUGACCUAAGCCCAAAGCCCAGUAAUCUUCAAGCAAGGGACCUGUUUGAGUGUCUGCUCCAUGACAGGCGGGGGACUCUUUGCCCAUGGAAGCUCUAGGGCCAUUUUCCAGCUGAGGUUUUAAAAAAAAAGGGAAGAUGUGGGUCAGAGGACACCCACAGAGGACAGGUGCGUUCCUUCUCAGGCUGCCGCAAACGUCCUGAUGUCUCUCCUCUUCAGUUCCCAGUUGAGAGCUGUCAGCUAGGUUCUUCGAGGCCAACUUUUGCUAAUGUUUGGUUAGAGAAAAAAAGAGGAAUAAACCCCCCUCUGAGUGCCGAUAAUUACAAGGAUGCCCAUUGGUAUGUCAAGCUGGGGCUCAGAACAGAAAAGUCAACGCAUCAUAGGAUGUUGUAAGGAUGGAUGAUUUCAGGAAAAGACAUAUUUUCCCUUGGGAUGUGAACAAGUGUGCGUGUGUGGCGGGGAAUUGGUAGAAAAUCGGGUGAUGGGGACUUAAGGAGAGUGUGGGAAGACACUAAUGGUUGAAGUGCAGGAGGGUCUAAAGAGCCAGCCUUGUCUGCCUUGGCUGAUUUUGGUACAGGUGGAAUGUGAAAUAUGAACUAUUUACACAUCUCCUAUUUCCAUGGACUAAGAAAAACAGAGAAAGCUGGGCACAGAGCUAUAACUGAGCUCCCUUCUUCUGAACUCCAAACCACUUCUUUAAAAUGGACCGUUAGAUCUUGGAGGAAGCCGUUUUCCACUAGGCCUAGUGGUGCUGGAGCAGAGCGUGUGCCACCAGCUGAGAAAACAAACCCGAGAAGGAGAAAGUAUACUCAGGUUAACAGGCCCCGGGCAAAAAGUCUCCAUUCCCUGCCUCCCCGCCCGGCUUGCCCUCCCCUGGGGCUGGAACCGUGGGCUUUGGCAGGAGAGGUCUCAGGUAGGGGCUGAGGAUUGGCUGGCCCAGCCGCAUAGAACAUAAAGAGAUUUACAGUCUAUUACUUCUGACUUUUAUUAAAUGAAAACCAGAGGUAUAAAAAUAAGGCAGCAAAUAACACCAUAACAGGAAAUAAAAGGGGCGAAAAGGGGGCAAGUCCGCACCUUGAGGAUGGCGUGCCCAUUGCGAUGCGGGUGUUCACAGCCACGACUCUCACCAGCCACGCUACACGGAGAGGAAGUCACCGCGGACGAAGGCGGUGGGGCAGGACUGUCUGCAUCAGGGGCUCGCGGGUCUAGAGCUCACUGAGAAAGGUUUAAGCUUUGGUGAAAUCUUAACUAUGCCUUUUCAAGAUUUUUCCUCUUUUGCUUGGAAAUCUUUGUUUUAUUCUAAGUGACAUCUCACAUAUUUGUUUCCAGUUUGUUUUAUACCUCCCUGAAACUAGUUAAGUUAAAAGCCACCUGAUGCUGGAAAACCCUUUAUGGACUGUGUAUGUGGAUGUGCCUGUGUAUGUGUGUGAAAGAGAAAAUAGUCAUACUUUUUAAGUAGCCAGCAAUUGGAGCUAAGGAUGACAUUCUGAACCUUCGUCCGUAGUUUCCGAGUGGGGUUUGUUCUUUGGAGGCAAUUCAUGAACCUCCUAGGCACACAGCUCUCAUUUGAUUGGCAAUUCCCAGCACUAAAGAGCAAAUCCUGCUUUGGGAACCUCACGUAUUUCUUUUCCUUUUUCCAGACCCGUACCUGGGCUCUGAUUCAUCAGCUAAAUUCAGGUGGAAGAUAUCAGAUGCUUAUAAAAAUAUUCUAAAGUCAUGCCUAAACUUUAAGGGGGAAAGGUCUAGAUGUUUCAUUAAACAUUUAUCACUUUUUUGGAGGCAAAGAAACUUUAUUUUCCUCUCUUGGGGAAUUACCCAGAAGCCAUAAAAUGCUGUUUUAUAACUGAAUAUCCCAGUUUACAUCUCAUGGAACGAAGCAAAAUAAAUACAAACUUUAAAAAUAUGGUCACAGCCCAUAUAUUUUAAAAAACAUUGUCACCACGGACCAACACAGCUCAAAUGUUUCUUUCAUGUUUAACCCUAUGGGGUGGGUAGAUUUCCCCCCAAUAUCAGUCAUGUUUCCCUAUGAACUGUCUGAUUUCUGCUGUAGUAUUAAUAAAAAGGAGUGGUAAUGGAAUCUUAUGUCUUAUUUACAAAGUAAAAUGUUACCAAAAUCUGAGAAUAAUUCCUAGGGAUGAAUUUCUUUUCUCCUUUCCCCACUGGGCCCUUCAAAUUUUUCUUCAGUAGCUUUACUUUUGCUUUUCUUUAAGUUUUACUUUCCCUUGGAGUUUAUAUGAAGGAAAUGGAAUGAGGUCUGGGAUUUGCUUCAGAACCGCCCAGUGGGGCGAGCUAGUAGGGGAUGCAGGUAAGGGUCUAGGUGAGACCGGCUUGGGUGUGAGCUAACUGUUAUUGAAGCUACGUGUUGGGCACAGGGAGGUUUAUUAGAUUACUCUGUUUUGCCAUAUGUUUGAAAAUUUCCAUUAAAAUGUCUUCCUCAAUUCUCUCCAGAUUCACUUUUCUCUUUUACUGGACUCUGGUUUGUUGAUCCAUAAUUCUCUCCUGCAGACUCCACGUUUUUUUUCUGGAAAGAGCACCAUUUUGCCCAGUUCAUGACCUCUGGCAGUGGGAUUCCUGGAGCUCUUUGUGAAGCUAUCUCAACACUAGAAGACAAUGCUUGCCACGCAGUGUGGCUGGGCGCUGCCAUCCAGCUUCUGUCAGGGUGCGUGUAAGACAUAGGUCCACCAGGGCACAGGCUAGCAUGAAUGAGGUGGGCCCUGUAGCACCAAAAGCUUCCUCCUUUCGGCUCCAUUUUUGCCUCCUCUUCCCUCCCUUCCCCUUCUCUUUGUCUCCCUUCAAUAUUUCUUCAUCUUAUUCCUUCUCUUUCCUUCUUUUCUCUCAGUACCAAAGUCACCUCUCUUUCCUAUCUCUGGUGUGG
rnacentral:lncRNA from 10 species